UACUCAAAAUCGGAGCAGAUGAAAAAAUAAAGAAUAACCAUGAAUUAUUUGGACAAAUGUCUUGACAAGGACAAUAAUCUUGGCUUUUUUAUUAAACAAAAAGAGAUAUGCCUGAAUAUUUUAAAGUUGAAAAAGUUUGUUUAGACACCAGUGAAUUCACCAUGCUAAAUAGCCACAGUGCCUUAUGAAUAUUCAAUGAUAAUCAAGUGUAAGUCUCAAGUAAUUAUUGGCUACAUAAAAAUGGGUUGAUAAUUCAGUAAACUGGUACAAUUCAACCCAGACAAAGACGUGUGAAAUACUGAAUGAUAUUGUACCAAGUAAAUUUUCACAAAUAACUGAUUUCAUGCUGACAGAUAGAGAUAAUAAUAUGAUAUUGUAGAGAAGAAUAGAUUGACUGUUUAAUCAAGAUGAGAUCAGCAAUAAAAAUGAUGGUGAAGAUGAAAGGUAUGUUGGUUCUAGUUUUUCUUCAAAAAAUGCAGCGAAUUUAAUAUGAAAUAUAUCCAAUUGGUGAACAUUUAUUCAACACAAUUGAGUAUAUUUCAUAUUAAAUGCUGAGGUAACUAAACCACAAAAAAAAGCGAGAUUAAAAACAAUAUUGAUAAUUCUCUCAAUGAUACGUUGCAUUGAAUCAAAAAAAUAUAGAGAAUUAAUUUUCAAUUAAAAUGCGUAAUUUGAUAAACUCAUAAUUUAAAUUCGUAAAAGAAAAAAAGUUAUGAAACAAAUUAAGUUGAUGAAAAAUAAGAAAAUGAAGAGAAUGCGAUACGAAAAUAAUUCAAGAGAAAUGACAAGAUCACCCGAGGCGUAAGGAAGAUCAUUGAAAACUUGAAAAACUACCAACACAUGAAUCAAACAGACAAGGUUUUUUAUCACCAAAAAUAAAAAAGAAGGAGGAGAAGAAGACGAAUGUAUGCAUCCCAAAAAAUUAUAAUCUGCCUGAACCAGCAUCAGAGGGAAAAAACACCAUGACCAUGAACGAUAAUAUAAAGCAUCCUGUUGAUAUGGCUCGUCAACAAAAUUCAUCUAUCAAUCCUGUGGACCACCUGCCCAAAUGAAUUCCUUUUUAGUUAUUCCACGACUUGUCACCCGAGCUAAUUCACAACAAUGAUUUUAAAUUAAAGAUUUAUUAUAUAUUUUUUUUUAUUAAAAGUUGCCUUGAUAGUCAUCAUUAUUAGCAAAAAAAAAUAAUCAUCUAACAUUGGCAUUUGUAUUAGGCAAUUCAUCUUUCGUGUCCAAUUAAUAGUAAAUUCUUAUCAUCAUCCACACAAGGACCAAGGUGAUUAGCACUAUGUACUCUGCCAGGAUAUUAGUCUUUUUUUAAAUGCAUUUAUUAUACCUAAAAAGUAUAUUCACACUGAUAUGUUUAGAAGCUAUCGCCACUGGUAGAAAAUAUUUCAUCAAGAAAUAAUGUUUGUAUUCAACGAUGAAUGUCUUCAACAACUGGUUAGAU